AACAGGGAGUACCGUUUGGGGCACCAGUAUUGACUAGUGUUCAAUUUGUUUCGGUGGUGAUGAGAUUCAUUGCAAUAACAACUUUCAAUCCAGAAGUAUUCGACCUGAUUUGAGUGUAGAUAGACAAAAGAAGAUUCGUCAAAACGGGAGGCUUUGAAUCUUGUCGCGUCUCGCAUGGAAAGAA